GAUGAACGCUGGCGGCGUGCCUAAUACAUGCAAGUCGAGCGGACGGACGAGAAGCUUGCUUCUCGGAUGUUAGCGGCGGACGGGUGAGUAACACGUGUAUAACCUACCUGUAAUACUGGGAUCACUUCGGGAAACCGGAUCUAAUACCGGAGAAUAUUUUGAACCGCAUGGUGCAAAGGUGAGUGACGGUCUUGCUGUCACUUAUAGAUGGAUCCGCGCUGUAUUAGCUAGUUGGUACGGUAACGGCUUACCAAGGCAACGAUGCGUAGCCGACGGCAGGGAGGGAUCGGCGACACUGGAAGGGAGCCACGGACAAGACUCCUACGGGACGCAGCAGUAGCGAACCUUCGGCAAUGGGCGGAAGCCUGACGCAGCGACGCCGCGUGAGAGAUGAAGGUCUCCGGAGCGUGAAACUCUGUUAUUAGGGAAGAACAGCUUUGUAAGUAACUGUGCCCAUCGUGACGGUAACUAAUCAGAAAGCAACGGCUAACUACGUG
rnacentral:rRNA from 1 species